rnacentral:lncRNA from 1 species
CGCGCCGUCGAGGUCCCCGCGUCGCCGCCCUCUGCCUUUCGUAACUCGGCGCGGGGUCUGGGUUUGCAGGGCUUUGAAAACGAGCCCCCGGCGCCUUGCGCCCUCUCUUCCGGCGCUCUGGCCGCAGAUUCGGGUAGCGCCGGCCACCGUGGACCAUUUUUCUUUUUUUCCUGCUUCGCGGCGUUCCAGGAUUUUCUCUUCCGGGUCGCUCUGAGGCACGGUCAGGGGUGCCAGCAUUCCCGGUUUGGCAUUGAACCCUCGGACUCUGCAAACACCAUUGAGGGGAAGCCCCCUUUUGCGCGUGCGCCGCGCCUCCUGAGGCCGGGAGCUAAGUCGGGCUGGCAGGGCCAGGUGGCACAUAAGCUCUGCCUCUGGGUUUCUAUUUGGCGUCAUCCGUGUGCAGAGGCGGCUGAGAUUUCGGCAACACAACAGCCUGGCCUUGACUGCAGCUCCAUCCCCAGCUCGGUGGCCCUCUUCGUCUGCAUUUUUCCCCCUCCAGAGGUUGCCUAGGAGGUUUGUGUAAUUGCCUUGUGCUCGGGAGGUCACAUCUCACUUGACGUUUGCAGAAACCAAGUUCAGAUGGGGCGCCUAUCACUCAUGGAAAACCCUUAAUACAGAAUAAUCUUCAGAAAUACUGAUGGUGAUUUAAAAAAAACGAUGUCUUCUUAGCAGCAAGGGCUAAAACUUUUCAACAGGGAAGAGGCAUUCAUUUUCUAUGGCUGCUAUAACAAAUGAGCACAAGCCUGGGGGCUGAAAACAGCAAAUUUAUUAUCUUCUAGCUCUGAGAAGAUGAGAAGCCCAAUGUGGGUCUCACUGGCUAAAAUCAAGCCAAGUCUUCACCACCAAAGACGGUGUUGCCAAUGUGAACUUUGCAGGAAAACAAAUCUGGUCACGGCUCCCUCCUUCUGGAGGCUCUUGCUGAGGUCCUUAUCCCCUGAAUAAAAAUGUCCAAGGAAACCAUGAAAAAGCACAUGCUUCCAAGCGACGGGGAAACACGGCCUCUCUCCUCUCCUUUCAAGCCGCGUGUCCACCAGGACAGCCACGGGCCCACACACCCUGCAGAGCCGUAUUUCUUUGCCCAGGAGAAGACAAACCGGCACUUAAUGCUAAGUUCCCAUUCAACCUGGGUUGGAUUCAAGCGAGUUAAACUGCAGUGCUGGUUGAUUUAGGAAAAGUUUGUAGCUUGACCCUGUCUGCCGCCCAGUGACACUUUGGUUUACGCUGAUGCUGAUUAGAGAGGGCUGUGGAGAUGGUUGGAUUUUCGAGCAUAAAUCAAUACACCUUCUAUGAGAAGGCGCUGCUGUAUAUAUAUGUUCAGACGGCAAGGACUUUUGGAAGACGCGCUGUUUGCCUGGGCAUGGUGGGGAUCUCCAAACAUAUAUACGAUGCAGUUUAUGACCCAAAGGAUUGAGACUCUGGAGAGACCGGCUGUCACAGGACACACCGAUGGAAGGAUGCAGUGAUGGUUUAGAGGAUUCCGGUUGUCAUAUCGAUUGGUUGCCUAAGAUGAGUCGAAGCUGCUUGAUAAUCGGUCGAGCUUCCUUAUCCAUCAUACCAGGGAUAAUCAUUCCUGCCCCGCUCCGUCUUUAAGGACGGUUACACAGUGGCUAACGUCCACUGCAUGCUAAAUGCGCUCCUGCCCUAUUUGAAAUGCUGUCCACACAUCAACUCAUUCCGUCUUCACAGCAUCUGGAAAAAUCGAUACGACAAUCCACCUGGUGCAGAUAAAGACAUUGAGGCAGAGAGUUUAAGUCAUGUGCUCAAGGUCACGCAGCACUUCCAUGGAUGGAGAUUAGGUCAAGAGCUGCCCAGGGCUUAUGACAAAACUCCUAGAAAGUUCCUUCUGUGUUGAAUCCAAGUCUGCCUGGAAUUCCUACCCAGUUGCUCAUGGUCCUAUGCUCCGGGUCUAAAUGAAGAAAUGCACCUGUUCUUCCCCAGGUCAGCCCUGCCCUUCAGUAGAGGCCACGUCUUCCCUCCCAUCCUCUGUAAUCUAAACAGCCUCAGUUCUUGAAGCCAUUUCACAUCUAUCCAGUUUGGAGAGGUCUUUAUGCUGCUGUUAUCUGAUGGGGAGACACUGUGUGGUCAGGAAGUGUCCUACAUAGCAUUAGUCAGACCAUUCCCCCAUCCUGAGGAGAAAAAAAAGCUCAUUUUGGGGGGAAUCAUCUUUUUAAGGCCACACUUGUGGCAUAUGGAAGUUCCCAGGCUAGAGGUCGAAUUGGAGCUACAGCUGCCAGCCUACACCACAGCCACAGCAAUGCAGGAUCCGAGCCGCGUCUGUGACCUACACUAUAGCUCACGGCAAUGCUAGAUCCUUAACCCACUGAGCGAGGCCAGGAAUCGAACCUGCAUCCUCGUGGAUACUAGUCGGGUUCAUUACCACUGUGCCACAACAGGAACACCCCAAAAGGCUCAUUUUUUGUAGACAGUGUUUCUUUGCCUCUUCUUAUACCAUUCCUGUAACAGUAAGACCCAUAAACAAAUCCUAUUAUCUUCAACAAUAAAAACAGCUAAAGUGUAUUAUGGCUUAUUACCUG